rnacentral:misc_RNA from 1 species
AAGUCGUAACAAGGUUUCCGUAGGUGAACCUGCGGAAGGAUCAUUAACACGUUCCAAACGUAUCAACCAAUGAGAAUUGUUUUCACCUCUCCCUAUGCUGAGAAUGAAUUGGAACUUGAUAUAGGCCAUAAAUGGGGCUGCCGCAAGGCGCCAACCUAUAGAAGUCACUUAUCGAAGCGAAAGUUUUGAUAGACAAUUGUAUUUCAGUAUUAGGCUUCGUCUUGCUAAUUUGAUCUCCAUUUAUGAUCGUGUUAGCGAGACACUUAUUAACCUAUUUCACCCCUUUUUGCUAGUUGACUUUUAUAUGUUGUUCUUUGCGCAAGCAAGGUUCACACGUUUAAUUAUUUGAACGUUAAAAAUACAACUCUUAGCAAUGGAUAUCUUGGUUCUC